rnacentral:rRNA from 1 species
GGGUCAGUAGGUUGGUCGUGCCACCGGUACGUACCGGUCUCACUGACUCCUCCUUCCUGAAGGACCGUAAUGCCAUUAAUUUGGUGUUGCGGGGAAACAGGACUGUUACUUUGAAAAAAUUAGAGUGUUUAAAGCAAGCUAACGCUUGAAUACAUUAGCAUGGAAUAAUGAAAUAGGACGAUCGAUCCUAUUUUGUUGGUUUCUAGGAUUGACGUA